AUUGAACGCUGGCGGCAGGCCUAACACAUGCAAGUCGAGCGCGAAAGUACUUCGGUAUGAGUAGAGCGGCGGACGGGUGAGUAACGCGUAGGAAUCUACCUAGUAGUGGGGGACAACUCGGGGAAACUCGAGCUAAUACCGCAUACGCCCUACGGGGAAAACGGGGAUCUUCGGACCUCGUGCUAUUAGAUGAGCCUGCGUAAGAUUAGCUAGUUGGUGGGGUAAUGGCCUACCAAGGCGACGAUCUUUAGCUGGUCUGAGAGGAUGAUCAGCCACACCGGGACUGAGACACGGCCCGGACUCCUACGGGAGGCAGCAGUGGGGAAUAUUGCGCAAUGGGCGAAAGCCUGACGCAGCCAUGCCGCGUGUGUGAAGAAGGCCUUCGGGUUGUAAGCACUUUCAAUUGGGAGGAAGGUUUCCGAUUAAUACUCGUGAGCUGUGACGUUACCUUUAG
rnacentral:rRNA from 1 species